rnacentral:tRNA from 1 species
CUCUCGGUAGCCAAGUUGGUUUAAGGCGCCAGACUGUAAUUCUGGAGAUCGGGCGUUCGACUCGCCCCCGGGAGAC